UACGUAGGGUGCGAGCGUUGUCCGGAAUUAUUGGGCGUAAAGAGCUUGUAGGCGGUCUGUCGCGUCUGCUGUGAAAAUCCGGGGCUCAACCCCGGACUUGCAGUGGGUACGGGCAGACUAGAGUGUGGUAGGGGAGACUGGAAUUCCUGGUGUAGCGGUGAAAUGCGCAGAUAUCAGGAGGAACACCGAUGGCGAAGGCAGGUCUCUGGGCCACUACUGACGCU
rnacentral:rRNA from 1 species